rnacentral:rRNA from 1 species
GACGAACGCUGGCGGCGGGCUUAACACAUGCAAGUCGAACGGAAAGGCCCUGCUUUUGUGGGGUGCUCGAGUGGCGAACGGGUGAGUAACACGUGAGUAACCUGCGCUGGAGUGGGGGAUAACUGCAGGAAACUGGGGCUAAUACCGGAUAGGAGCGCCUGCUGCAGGGUGGGGGUUGGAAAGUUUCGGCGGUUGGGGAUGGACUCGCGGCUUAUCAGCUUGUUGGUGGGGUAGUGGCUUACCAGGGGUUUGACGGGUAGCCGGCCUGGGAGGGUGACCGGCCACAUUGGGCCUGAGAUACGGACCAGACUCCUACGGGAGGCAGCAGUGGGAAACAUUGCCCAAUGGGCGGAAGCCUGAUGCAGCAACGCCGCGUGCGGGAUGACGGCUUUCGGGUUGUAAACCGCUUUAGCCUGUGACGAAGCUUGAGUGACGGUAACGAGUAAAGAAGCACCGGCUAACUACGUG